rnacentral:rRNA from 1 species
GAUGAACGCUGGCGGCGUGCCUAAUACAUGCAAGUCGAGCGAACAGACGAGGAGCUUGCUCCUCUGAUGUUAGCGGCGGACGGGUGAGUAACACGUGGAUAACCUACCUAUAAGACUGGGAUAACUUCGGGAAACCGGAGCUAAUACCGGAUAACAUGUUGAACCGCAUGGUUCAACAGUGAAAGGCGGUCUUGCUGUCACUUAUAGAUGGAUCCGCGCCGCAUUAGCUAGUUGGUAAGGUAACGGCUUACCAAGGCAACGAUGCGUAGCCGACCUGAGAGGGUGAUCGGCCACACUGGAACUGAGACACGGUCCAGACUCCUACGGGAGGCAGCAGUAGGGAAUCUUCCGCAAUGGGCGAAAGCCUGACGGAGCAACGCCGCGUGAGUGAAGAAGGUCUUCGGAUCGUAAAACUCUGUUAUUAGGGAAGAACAAAUGUGUAAGUAACUAUGCACGUCUUGACGGUACCUAAUCAGAAAGCCACGGCUAACUACGUG